rnacentral:rRNA from 1 species
UACGAGGGGGGCGAGCGUUGUUCGGAAUUAUUGGGCGUAAAGGGUGCGUAGGCGGUUCCGCAAGUCCUGUGUGAAAUCUUCGGGCUCAACUCGAAGUCUGCACGGGAAACUGCGGGGCUUGAGUGUGGGAGAGGUGAGUGGAAUUCCCGGUGUAGCGGUGAAAAUGCGUAGAUAUCGGGAGGAACACCUGUGGCGAAAGCGGCUCACUGGACCAUAACUGACGCUGAUGCACGAAAGCUGGGGGAGCAAACAGG